CUUCAUACGGGAUGGAAAUAAAGUAACGUUGGUCCAGCACAUCGAUCAAAGGUUCGUAGGUGUAGAUCAGGAAACCCUCCACAAAAAGAAUGUGAGUCUGCUCAUUCUUAUCAUCAGGCUUUGGAACAAUCUCGGAAGAUCACACGUCUGAAUUCCA